UGGGGAAUUUUGGACAAUGGGGGCAACCCUGAUCCAGCAAUGCCGCGUGAGUGACGAAGGCCUUAGGGUUGUAAAGCUCUUUCGGCGGGGAAGAUAAUGACGGUACCCGCAGAAGAAGCCCCGGCUAACUCUGUGCCAGCAGCCGCGGUAAUACAGAGGGGGCAAGCGUUGUUCGGAAUCACUGGGCGUAAAGCGCACGUAGGUGGAUAGUUAAGUUCGGGGUGAAAUCCCAGGGCUCAACCCUGGAACUGCCUCGGAUACUGGCUAUCUCGAGUCCGGAAGAGGUGAGUGGAAUUCCUAGUGUAGAGGUGAAAUUCGUAGAUAUUAGGAAGAACACCGGUGGCGAAGGCGGCUCACUGGUCCGGUACUGACACUGAGGUGCGAAAGCGUGGGGAGCAAACAGGAUUAGAUACCCCCGUAGUCCCUGAGCGGGCUGGCAAGGCGCAU
rnacentral:rRNA from 1 species